rnacentral:tRNA from 1 species
GUUCGAGUAGUUUAAUGGAUAAAAUAUUUCCCUCCGACGGAAAUGAUGUGAGUUCGAUUCUCACCUUGAACA